UACGAAGGGGGCUAGCGUUGUUCGGAAUUACUGGGCGUAAAGCGCACGUAGGCGGACCCGUAAGUCAGAGGUGAAAGCCUGGAGCUUAACUCCAGAACUGCCUUUGAUACUGCGGGUCUUGAGGAUGGGAGAGGUGAGUGGAACUGCGAGUGUAGAGGUGAAAUUCGUAGAUAUUCGCAAGAACACCAGUGGCGAAGGCGCUCACUGGCCCAUUACUGACGCUGAGGUGCGAAAGCGUGGGGAGCAACAGG
rnacentral:rRNA from 1 species